rnacentral:lncRNA from 1 species
AGCGAUUCUCCUGCCUCAGCCUCCCAAGUGGCUGGGACUACAGGCUGUGAAGUCUGGGUGAGAUCUUGACAGUGGUGGCAGUGGUGGGAUCCAUGCAUGGCGUCUGGAAGAAGGAGAGAAAGGAAGAGAAAGAGGCAAGGAGGGAGGAGGAAAAUGAGGCCUUGAAAUAUCAUACACAGUUCCUUGGAUGGAAGGAGGAGCGGGUCCUGUCCCCGCUUGUCUUGGCUGUCUGGAGGAAGAGGAGAACCAGUCAUUGGUGUGGCCUAAGUCGAACGAGGAACUGUGGUGAGUCUUCUCCCUGACCCCCUUUUCCCACCCAUCCCGACAUAUUUCUUCUGUUUUGCAUUCCCAGUGCCAGGGACUGUUUGUGUGUCAAAUAUGCCAUGAAAUGUGCAUCUUUCCCAUGAGCAAAUGAAGAGGUGGGGGUGCUUACUCAUCCCUAAGCCCUGGUUGCUUUCUCAGACACAUUCUAAAUAGCAAAGCAGUCUCCUCCAGGGGACCUUUCAGGGAUGGGCUUCAGGGCCAUCCUGGGCCGUGACCCUCUGUGCAGCUAUCCUUGGAAGUAGUCCUUGGGAAGGUGAGCAGGGAGGGACUGUGACAUCUAAAGUCCAAGCUCUGACUACUUCUGUCCCUGGGAAUCAGUGACAUGUGAAGCUAUGGCUAGAUUUUUCAUAGAUCUCUUAUUUGUAUUCAAAAAGCAUUCAGAAGUUUUUAUUUAGCUAAAAGUUGGCUUUA